rnacentral:rRNA from 1 species
CCUACGGGUGGCAGCAGUAGGGAAUAUUGCUCAAUGGGCGAAACCCUGAAGCAGCAACGCCGCGUGGAGGAUGAAGGUUUUCGGAUUGUUAACUCCUUUUGUUAGAGAAGAUAAUGACGGUAUGUAACGAAUAAUCACCGGCUAACUCCGUGCCAGAAGCCGCGGUAAGACGGAGGCUGCAAGCGUUACUCGGAAUCACUGGGCGUAAAGAGCGUGUAGGCGGGAUAGCAAGUCAGAUGUGAAAUCCUAUGGCUUAACCAUAGAACUGCAUUUGAAACUGUUAUUCUAGAGUAUGGGAGAGGUAGGCGGAAUGCUUGGUGUAGGGGUAAAAUGCGUAGAGAUCAAGAGGAAUACUCAUUGCGAAGGCGGCCUGCUAGAACAUCACUGACGCUGAGGCGCGAAAGCGUGGGGAGCAAACAGGAUUAGAUACCCGAGUAGUC